rnacentral:rRNA from 1 species
GGGACCUUCGGGCCUUGCGCUAUCAGAUGAGCCUAGGUCGGAUUAGCUAGUUGGUGGGGUAAUGGCUCACCAAGGCGACGAUCCGUAACUGGUCUGCGAGGAUGAUC